rnacentral:rRNA from 2 species
CCGCCUGGGGAGUACGGCCGCAAGGUUAAAACUCAAAUGAAUUGACGGGGGCCCGCACAAGCGGUGGAGCAUGUGGUUUAAUUCGAUGCAACGCGAAGAACCUUACCUGGUCUUGACAUCCACAGAAUUCUGCAGAGAUGCGGAAGUGCCUUCGGGAACUGUGAGACAGGUGCUGCAUGGCUGUCGUCAGCUCGUGUUGUGAAAUGUUGGGUUAAGUCCCGCAACGAGCGCAACCCUUAUCCUUUGUUGCCAGCGAUUAGGUCGGGAACUCAAAGGAGACUGCCAGUGAUAAACUGGAGGAAGGUGGGGAUGACGUCAAGUCAUCAUGGCCCUUACGACCAGGGCUACACACGUGCUACAAUGGCGCAUACAAAGAGAAGCGACCUCGCGAGAGCAAGCGGACCUCAUAAAGUGCGUCGUAGUCCGGAUUGGAGUCUGCAACUCGACUCCAUGAAGUCGGAAUCGCUAGUAAUCGUGGAUCAGAAUGCCACGGUGAAUACGUUCCCGGGCCUUGUACACACCGCCCGUCACACCAUGGGAGUGGGUUGCAAAAGAAGUAGGUAGCUUAACCUUCGGGAGGGCGCUUACCACUUUGUGAUUCAUGACUGGGGUGAAGUCGUAACAAGGUAACCGUAGGGGAACCUGCGGUUGGAUCACCUCCUUACCUUAAAGAAGC